rnacentral:rRNA from 1 species
ACCAACAGGGAUUGCCCUAGUAACGGCGAGUGAAGCGGCAACAGCUCAAAUUUGAAAUCUGGCCUUCGGGUCCGAAUUGUAAUUUGCAGAGGAUGCUUUUGGCGAGGUGCCUUCCGAGUUCCCUGGAACGGGACGCCUUAGAGGGUGAGAGCCCCGUACGGUUGGACACUAAGCCUCUGUAAAGCUCCUUCGACGAGUCGAGUAGUUUGGGAAUGCUGCUCUAAAUGGGAGGUAAAUUUCUUCUAAAGCUAAAUACCGGCCAGAGACCGAUAGCGCACAAGUAGAGUGAUCGAAAGAUGAAAAGCACUUUGAAAAGAGGGUUAAAUAGCACGUGAAAUUGUUGAAAGGGAAGCGUUUACGGCCAGACCUUUUCCUAGCGGAUCAUCUAGUGUUCUCACUGGUGCACUUCGUUAGGUUUAGGCCAGCAUCGGCUUCUGUAGAGGGAUAAAAGCAGUGGGAAAGUAGCUCUCUCGGGAGUGUUAUAGCCCUAAGCAUAAUACCUUUACGGGGGCCGAGGACCGCGCUUUUGCAAGGAUGCUGGCGUAAUGGUCGUCAACGACCCGUCUUGAAACACGGACCAAGGAGUCGAACAUUUGUGCGAGUGUUUGGGUGUUAAACCCUCACGCGUAAUGAAAGUGAACGGAGGUGAGAGCCCUUUACGGGGUGCAUCAUCGACCGAUCCUGAUGUCUUCGGAUGGAUUUGAGUAGGAGCAUUAAUGUUCGGACCCGAAAGAUGGUGAACUAUGCGUGGAUAGGGUGAAGCCAGAGGAAACUCUGGUGGAGGCUCGCAGCGGUUCUGACGUGCAAAUCGAUCGUCAAAUCUGCGCAUGGGGGCGAAAGACU